UACAUGGGGUGCAAACGUUGCUCGGAAUUAUUGGGCGUAAAGCGCGCGUAGGCGGUUACUUAAGUCGGAUGUGAAAGCCCUCGGCUUAACUGAGGAAGUGCACCCGAAACUGAGUAGCUAGAGUACGAAAGAGGGUCGCGGAAUUCCCGGUGUAGCAGUGAAAUGCGUAGAUAUCGAGAGGAAUACCAACGGCGAAGGCAGGUCACUGGGCAGUUACUGACACUGAGGCACGAAGGCCAGGGGAGCAAACGGG
rnacentral:rRNA from 1 species